rnacentral:lncRNA from 1 species
AGCUCUGUGCCUGGAGGGGACUCGCCGCCAUCUCAGGUCUCUUGGCUUUGCCAGGGCCCACCGGAGAAAACUGACGACCCGUUUCUGUAAUCCUUAUGGGAGACCAACCUUGUGCCUCCGGGAGAUCCACUCUCCCACCUGGAAACGCACGGGAAGCCAAGCCUCCAAAAAAGCGCUGCCUCCUCGCUCCGCGUUGGGAUUAUCCGGAAGGAACUCCCAACGGAGGUAGUACCACUCUACCCUCCGCACCUCCUCCUGCAUCAGCCGGCCUGAAGUCGCACCCUCCUCCUCCGGAGAAGUAGAGAAAUAAAUUUCUCCCACCCUAAACCAGUCUUUGAGUGAUUGCAGUAUGACUCCAUUUCCCUGGUGCAUUCAUAUAAUAGUUCACCUGGUGAAAACAAUGAAGAUUAUUUACAAUGCUACCCUGCUUUUUCUGGUGUCCUGAACCUGGAAGUUGUGCUUUUUAAGUCUUAUGAUGUAAUCAGCGCGAUUUCACUUCCUGAAUUUCGAUGAAUUCUAAGACAUGGGCAAGAUCGGGUUGUAAGACCUCUGAGAUUUAAGGCCAUGCCCUGGAUCAUGGUGAACUUACCAAAGCAAACAAUGCCUGUGAGAUGGUCCUGCAGCAGCCAACCAGUGAACUCUUUUGGUGACAUCCUGUUCUUGUUGUAUAACUUUAUAUUCCUAUAAAUCCAUUAAGGCCCCAAUAAAGUUUGUCUCUAAGCGCUGUGUUAGAUCUAUAUGACUACAUCUAGUAAAUUGUGAAUUUUAAGUAAAUAUUUUAUAAGAACUCCUAUGUAAAGCAUUACUAAAAUUAGUGUUGAAAUAUGACCUUCUUCCUACAUUUAUUCAUUUAUUUAUGUCUAUUUAUUCAUUUAUUUUAGUGAAAAAUAUAAGGAAAGUAGAGGAAGGUUAAAUCCAAAAAAGAAUUGUUUCCAGUACACUUUCUUUAAUUUGCUGUCAGUUUUUGCAUGGAAUCUACAUCUUUUUAUGCUAAUCCUCAUCCUAGUAUUUUACAUCUUAACUAUUUUUUUCUGACUGAAAUGGUUGAUGUGCUUGUUUUUUGUAAUUUUCUACUUUCCUUCUAAAAUGCUUAGUAUUGAACAAAUAGAAUAUCCUAAUUAAAAACAGUAAUAAAUAUUAUGGUGAAAAAAUACAAGUAAAAUGGGAAAACAUUAGAUAGCAGCUUUCAAUAUUUCAUAUAGUUCAUAAAUGUUUCAGGAAUUACAAGGUUAUAGAAAAAAAUUUAUAGACUAUAAUAAUUUCCAGGGAUAUAAAAAAAUAAAGCUUCUACCUUUGAAUUGUAAUAAUAAAAGAUAAACAGACUUGAAAGCAUAUAUUAUAUCUGAAAAUGUCAGAUAAACUUGGCUUAUAAAUUAAAAUAUAAAAUAAUAAUACAAUUUGUUCAAAUAAGUAAUUAAAGCUUACAUUGUAAAAUGAAUAUUUAGAGAGAUUGUGAAACCUGAGUAUUUUACCCAAUCCUCUGAAAUUAGUCCCUAGCAUCAGAAUUAAAGAAUCUGAAAAAUCACAAA